CUGGCCGCUGGCAAAUUCCGUGGUUCCACAGAACCGCAGUGUGCCCGUCUGGGGAGACAAGAAAGGAUACGGCUCAGAAAGGUUGCCUCGAACUUUUGAUUCUCCUGCCUCAGCCAGCCAAGUAGCUGGAAUUACAGCCAUGUGAGGUGAAGAAACUUUCCCAGAGAGCUGGGAUCACUGACUGGGAAGCAGCAAAGCUGAGAUGGACCUGGGCCAGUCGCUGACCCUAAGUGUGAAAACACUGUGAUGUGCUGCUUCCCUAAGGGGCAGGGAUAGGUAUCAGAGAUAGGUAUUACGUGUCUUCGGACAAAAGGCUUCUUCACCUCUCAGAGGUUCUUAUAGUCUUCUGGAGUAUAAAAUGGGAGGAGUCAACCACCCUUCUUUGAGAAUCAUCCAGUGGAUUUGAUUAGAUUUUGCACAAAGUUUUCCUGGAUUGGGGCUGACACAUGCAGAAUUCUUGAUUAGGAAACAAAAUGUGACUUGAAUGGUUUCUCACUGUGUAAAAAACAAAAUCCAAAUUCCUUCCAAUGGCCUGCAGGGCUGGUGUGAUCCAGUCCCUCUGAUCUCUCCACAACACAAUCAGAAACAACUCUCCAGUCACAGUGCCGCACUGCUGGGUCUUGGUACUUGUCACUUCCAUAUCUGUGGAAGAUGAGCUCCUUCCUGUCUCAGCUUGGAAAUCACCUCCUCAGAGAAGGCUUCCCAGAACACUCCAGCUAAAACCACCCCUGCCUCCAGCACU